rnacentral:rRNA from 1 species
GAUGAACGCUGGCGGCGUGCCUAAUACAUGCAAGUCGAGCGAAUGGAUUAAGAGCUUGCUCUUAUGAAGUUAGCGGCGGACGGGUGAGUAACACGUGGGUAACCUGCCCAUAAGACUGGGAUAACUCCGGGAAACCGGGGCUAAUACCGGAUAACAUUUUGAACCGCAUGGUUCGAAAUUAAAAGGCGGCUUCGGCUGUCACUUAUGGAUGGACCCGCGUCGCAUUAGCUAGUUGGUGAGGUAACGGCUCACCAAGGCAACGAUGCGUAGCCGACCUGAGAGGGUGAUCGGCCACACUGGGACUGAGACACGGCCCAGACUCCUACGGGAGGCAGCAGUAGGGAAUCUUCCGCAAUGGACGAAAGUCUGACGGAGCGACGCCGCGUGAGUGAUGAAGGCUUUCGGGUCGUAAAACUCUGUUGUUAGGGAAGAACAAGUGCUAGUUGAAUAAGCUGACACCUUGACGGUACCUAACCAGAAAGCCACGGCUAACUACGUGCCAGCAGCCGCGGUAA